UUAAUAUAUGUCAGCUUUUCUCUUUCUUAGCUGGACAAAGCAAAUGGAAAACACUUUGCACACACUGCAUUUAAUCAAUUGCUAGAUUUAUUUUUUUUUUCUUCGCCGUGAUACCAAUCUUGAAUGCUUCCGCCGUGAUCAAUCUUCUUCUUCGGCGUGAUUUCAGCUUAUUCACCAAAUCAUAAUCCUCUGUUCUUUUUUCUCUUUUUUCUCUUCAAUUUUGAUUUCAUGGGUUUGUUUUCUUCCGCGAAUUUGAGUUUGAGCAAGCUGUAUAAUUAUAGGGUUUGAUUUGUUUCCGUGAUUAUAGCGGGUUUUGACUUCUAUGCAGUUACGGAUCUCGCUAUAGACUCUGUUAUAUAGUUUGUGGAUUUAUACUGAAACUUCAUAAACUCAUAUUUGCAGAACACACAAACAUAGAUCUUUCUUAUGAUUGGCUCUUUUUUGGGUUUUUUUUCUUAUGCUUGUUGAAAUUUUAAUGUGGGACAAAGAUUGAUACUUUAUGUUGUGUAAAUUGAAAUUUUUUGUUUUGUUUUUGGUAGAGAGAAAAUUCUGGUGAACGUGUGCAGUUUAGCCGAGACCAGUUGCUUUAGGUCAAACAGCAGUCAGUCCAAGUCUCUGAUGAUAUCCUGAGAGGCUGUAAGGAAAUCGCAGUUGAGAUUUUUGGCGAAGAUCAGAGUUGGGGGAAUCGUGCAGCCGAGAGUAAACCAACAAACCAGCCUCAGAAUUGAUAUUCCCAUCCUGAUACCCGUGACUGGCAUAGUCGUCCGCAGGUUCCACAAGAAUGUCUGGUCUUGCCCCUGUGCUGGUGAAAGUGGAAGUCCCAUGGUCAGCUAAAAGAGGAGCUCUUUCAGAUAAGGAUCGAGUCCUCAAGAACGUGAAAGGGCAGGAUAGGAGACUUGGCACAAUAUGUUUCAUUCUACUGCACUCUUUUCAGCUAUCAUUUGCCAUUGGCAAAGGAGCUAGGAAUUAGAGUGGUUCCGACCUUUAAGAUCUUGAAGGACAACAAAGUAAUAAAGGAAGCGACAGGGGCUAAAUAUAAAGACUUGCUUGCAGCCAUUGAUGCAGCAAGGUCAGGCUGAGUCUCCCUCAAUCACUCAUGCUGUAAAGUAUUAGGAUCAUCCUCCUCCAACCAGAAAGAGCGAGACAGACAGACAGAGAAAGAGGGUUCGAUUAUAAUGGCGACGAGCGAGAGAGAGCUAGAGAGAGAGAGAGAGAGAGAGAAAGAGAGAGAUGUCAGAGGUAUCGUUUCGUGUUUCCUUCUAAAACCCUAAGAUGAAUCGAUUUUGAUUUUCGACUUGUUUAAUUUCUUUUUUUUUAUCUUAUUUUUGGUGAACAAGGUGUCUGUGGUGUUUGUGUUCUGUGUUAUGUUUUCCUAACAAUUUUUUAAACAAAAAAUACUUAAAAA